GACGAACGCUGGCGGCGUGCUUAACACAUGCAAGUCGAACGGUAAGGCCCUUCGGGGUACACGAGUGGCGAACGGGUGAGUAACACGUGGGUGAUCUGCCCUGCGCUUCGGGAUAAGCCUGGGAAACUGGGUCUAAUACCGGAUAGGACCACUGCCUGCAUGGGUGGUGGUGGAAAGCUUUUGCGGUGUGGGAUGGGCCCGCGGCCUAUCAGCUUGUUGGUGGGGUGAUGGCCUACCAAGGCGACGACGGGUAGCCGGCCUGAGAGGGUGACCGGCCACACUGGGACUGAGAUACGGCCCAGACUCCUACGGGGGGCAGCAGUGGGGAAUAUUGCACAAUGGGCGCAAGCCUGAUGCAGCGACGCCGCGUGAGGGAUGACGGCCUUCGGGUUGUAAACCUCUUUCAGCACCGACGAAGCGCAAGUGACGGUAGGUGCAGAAGAAGGACCGGCCAACUACAUGCCAGCCGCCGCCGUAA
rnacentral:rRNA from 1 species